rnacentral:lncRNA from 1 species
GUCAGAACUGAGUUCUUGCUGAGGUUUGCAUUGGGCCCUGUCUCCGGGCAGCUGCAGCAUAACACGGAGUCACCCUUGCUGUCUAAGCCUUGUGGCUGGAGGGGAAGAGUGAGGACCAAGCUGUCAACAAUCCCAGACCUGCCAAGCCCCAUUUGUCUGUGUGCCUGCCAGGAUUCUAAGACUGCAUUUGGGAAUUUUGACUUUUACUGAAUGUGAAAUUCUGUGUAUAUAUAGCCUUGGUGAGCUGACCCAGUCAGGGAUGACUCUGAUGUACUUUUGUCUUACAGGAUUCAGAAUCCAUGGCUGGAAGAGGUAGUAAGGCCAUUGGGAGGGCAUGCCUCUCCUCAGCCCACCCCCACCCUGUGUGGGUCUCCAUUCUGAAAUUUCCAUUCAGAUGACCCGGUCCUAGGCAGGGACCAAAAUUCCUUGUCAGCUGAGGAAGUCCUGAAGAAACAUCCUGAAGAUGAUGACUGCACUGCCAUCGUGGGCAGAUGCAGCUUCCAUCUACCUGAGGGCUGAAGGGGAAAACCUUUCACACACGUGAGGAAGGCGCAGCUCUGUGGAAAGGUCACUAGAAUGGCAGCGGCAGCAAAUAGGGCUCCAAUGCACGUUUGCAGUUAACUGGGUCCAAGGAGAGCAUGGCCCUCCACAGCAAGUUUGCUCUAUAGAAUAAAGUCCUGAGCUUGUUUUUAUCACAGUUAGACAGAGAAUGGUCUCUUGUUUCUCAGUUAUCCAGGGAAGAACAGUGUAUAUUCUCUGUAGAUGAGUGUUGUCUAAUGUAGUGAUUAAUCUCUGCUAGUGUUAGGAAAGCUCCACUACUGUGUGUGUGUGUGCGUGCAUGCGCGUGCGCAUGUGCACAUACUGCAGUCUUGACUUUCCAAUUACAAAAUGCCUAAGUCAGGUCACAUUGUCUUCUUCCAGCCAGUUUCUAAGGCAGGCAAUGGAAACAGGAGCCGAUGCCAAAUGGUCUAGAGGCAGAAGGGCUGCAUGCUUUGCAGGGCCAGCCCCAAGGCUGCCUUCCAGAGCUGCACUUUCUCUGGGGACAGUAAACUCUCACCGCAGCUGCCAGCCCCCUGUGCUUGGCCAUGCCCCUCACAUGGACUUGGAAUCAGUGUCUCUCUUGCUGAUGAGCACCUCCAGGAGCCUCAGUUUCGCCUUUAUGUGCUUAUAUUCACUGUAUUCUUCAGCCAUAGGAGUGCGGUCUUCCUUCUGGACAUUUCUAAUGCAAAUAAAGGAAAAAGGGGUCUGAGGAUCAUUUUCUGUCUUUGCUAGAUACUAUUCAUCGGGCAAAUUAUCAUUGUUUAGAAACUUUGCAGUUUAUCAACUUGUAGAAUCAGUGUUGCCGAGUGGCCCUUGGUCUCAAGACUGGGGCUGGAUUUAGACAAGUAAUGAAAAUGUUUCACCCAGAAGGCAACAUGCAACUGAGUUUUUAUAUAGUUAAUCUGGCAUCCUGUAUGAUAAGAAGGCUAAGAAAUGCAGAAAUUCUCUCUGCUAAGUAUGAAUUCACAUUGAGCUCUCAUACACCAAAAUCUUUUAUUCAUACUUAAUGUUUUCUCAUUCUUAUAUAUUUCAUCUCGUGAAAUUUUAAAUUUUUAAUUAGCAACUGGUCCACAACUUAGUUUUUUUUUUUUUUUUUUUUUCCAAAAACAGAUAGUUAAUACUCCUACUUAUCAUAAAACUGUGUUAGAAUUCAGCAGCUGGAUUACAUAAUACUAUUAUAAUAAGCCUUUAUUAUUGAGUAACUUUACAUACAUAAUAUUUAUAUGCACAAGUAUUUGAGAGCUUAUAGGUCAAGCCCUGUGCUAAGUACUUUGUACCCAUGAUCUGAUAGAACCCUUAUAACACCUUGAUGAGAUGCAGCCAUUUUCUACACACUACACAUGAUGAAACCAGCACAGGAAAUCAGAUAACUUGCCUGCUCUUGGCCACCACGCGGUGCGCUGCUGCUUUGUGUUUUAUGGGAAAUUGCACAUGGCAAACAUUCAACCAUAGGCUUCCUGCCUUUAUUAUUAAAGGGCAAAUAUGGGUAAGGAGGAUAGCAUGGGGCUUGAUUUGUUCAAUGACCUAAAAAUAAACUGAUCUUAUUCAUACCCUGCCUUGUUCUAGGAAAGGAUUCUAGUGGCUUCUCAGCAGAGGGCAGGGCAAGGAACAGGUGCUCAGGAAUUGGAGCAUCUGGCACGCAGGCCCCCACUGCACUCUGAGGGGCUUCACUCUCCUCAGACACGAAGUCAUGGAACCAGAGCUUAUCUCCUAAGUCCCUCAUAGUUCUAAACUUUUUUGACAAUUAAGUUAACGUCCUCCAUUGACAUUUUCUUAAAACCUGGGUGGUUUGCGUAAUUCUACAUGUAUAAGAUAUCUGUGCAUAAUGUGACUUAGAAUAAUAUAAAAAAGGAUAAGCCAAAAAAUAGGCUUAGAUGAAAGACUGGAAAGAUACACGUCAAAACAUUAAUUCUGACUUGUCUUUGGUUAUUAUU